CUGGGGAUCGGUAACGUACUAAUCUUAUUUUUUGUUUAUUAUUACCAGAUCUGCUCUAGGAACUCUUGCGUUUGAUUCAGAGAUUGAAAAGAUUGCGAAAGCUAAUCGCAAAGAAACAAAGCUAAAGAAAAAGCAGUCAGCGGUGGUUGGGACUUAAAGUAAUCCACCGCCAGGAAUCAGAAUCGACGACGAAGCAGAGUCUAGGGUUAACGAAAGCCCUACUCUAACUUUUGAAGGCGAAAAAUUAGAAGUUGAUUCCCCAAAAGAAGUGUUUAAUGCUAGGGUUGGCGUAAACCUUAAUUUAGCACCUCAACCUAUGGCUCAGACAAUUUGGCAACUGGCCGAAGCGCUGACAACUUUUGAAUUAAAGUCAGGCUUGAUCCAACUACUGCCAGCUUUUCGAGGGUUACAGAAUGACAAUCCCCACAAGCAUUUGAAAGAAUUCCAUAUGGUUUGCCUUAGUAUAAAAACCUCAGCGGGUAACUGAGGAUCAAAUUAAACUGUUCGCUUUCCCUUUUUCCUUAGUAGAUUCUGCUAGGGAAUGGUUAUUUUAUUUACCUCCUGGAUCUGUAACGACUUGGGCUGAAUUGUCUCAUUUGUUUCUUAACAGGUUUUUUUCAACGCCGCGUGCAGUCGAGUUAAGAAGAGAAAUUGUGGGAAUAAGGAAAAAAGAUGUAGAGUUUCUGUACGACUACUGGAAGCGAUUUAAGAAGUUGUGUGCAAGUUGCUCACAAUACGGUAUAACGGAACAGUCUUUGCUCCAGUACUUUUAUGAAGGCUUAAAACCCAUGGAGAUGAAUAUGGUAGAUACCGUGAGUGGAGGAGCGUUGGUCAACAUGACUCCACAACAAGCAAGAGACUUAAUCUCCACGAUGGCUACAAAUUCUCAGCAAUUCCGAGCCAACCCUGAACCCCCUAGAAGGGUUCACCAGCUAAGUAAUUCGACCUUAGAAGAUAAGGUUGAUAGAAUUGCUAAUAUUCUGAAUUCUCUUGUUACAGAAAAAGUAAAGAUUGCCCGAGUAUGUGGAAUAUGUGCUACCCCUGAACAUACAACUGAUGCAUGUCCCAGUUUGUAUGAUGAUAAUGUGGCUCAUUUAGAUACUGCGAAAAAUUUCCCUAGACCACCGCAAAUGCAAUACGACCCUUACGCUAAUACCUACAACCCAGGAUGGAGGGAUCACCCUAACUUAAGUUAUAGGGCCAACCCAUGACUUAACUAGUCAAACCAAAAUUGGUUUCCACAACAGCCUCGAGAUUCAGGUAAUUCUCUAGAAACUAUGGUCAAUAAAUUAGCAGCUAAUGUCUUUGAUUUUCAACGGCAAACUCUUAAUUUCCAAAGAGAGACAAAGGAUUUCCAACAAAAAAUUGAGGCAUCCAUAAGGGAGUUGACCAUAUCAAUCGAGAGAUUAAACUCGUAAGGGAAGCUGUCGUCACAAACAGAACCUAAUCCAAGACAACACGCAAAUGCAGUGACGUUGCAAAGUAGAAAGGUACUGGAACCAAUUCCUGGUAGAAAUCUUGGCCAAGAAAUCACUCAGGAAAAACCCGAAAAUGACGAACAAGUCCGAGCGAAACCCCCACUGCUGAAAAUCCAACCUCCAUUCCCAGGACGAUUAAACUAGUGUCGAAAAAGUAAAGAAGACAAAGAGAUCCUUGAAACAUUCAGAAAUGUCGAGAUCAAUCUACCACUGUUGGAUGCCAUCAGAAGAAUUCCACGGUACGCCAAGUUCCUCAAAGAGCUUUGCACCAAAAAACGAAAAUUAAUAGGUAAUGAAAAGGUAAGUGUUGGUGAGAAUGUAUCUGCAGUGCUACUACGAAUACUAAGAUUGACGUACGAAGCAGAACCCUCACGAUGGAGUUUGACGGAGAGAUCAUGAAGUUUAACAUUUAUGGAACUAUUAGUCACCCAAGUGAAGUCUUGGACGUAAACCGUGUCGACAUAAUUGACUCAUCAGUAGAAAAAACUUUUGAAUCAUCUUAUAGAGAUAAAUCUAAAAUGAUGUUUGAUGAUUUUGAAUCUGUUAAUAAAUUAUUGGCUCCUAUGGAUACUAAAAUUCUACCUUCUGUUGUGCAGGCACCAGAUCCAAAAUUAAAACCACUUUCCAAGCAUCUCAAAUUCACAUUUUUAGAGAAUGAUGAGACCAUUGCCGACUUAAAAGGGAUCAACCCCUUGGAGAAAAAUACAAAACUAAAGAAAGAGGCGCAAGGACGAUUAAACCCAAAUAUGGUGGACGUGAUAAAAAAAUGAGAAUUUCCAAGCCCAUACGAACGAAAGAAUUCAACUGGAACAGCCCCAAUACUAGUUGAUGCGUCAAGCUAACGACGUUAAACAAGCGCUUGUUGGG
rnacentral:lncRNA from 1 species